GCGUGCCUAAUACAUGCGAGUCGAGCGAUGAGGCUCCUUCGGGAGUACGUCAACGGCGAACGGGUGAGUAACACGUGGGUGACUUGCCGCGAAGAUGGGGAUAACUCUGGAAACGGGGGCUAAUACCCAAUGUGCUCGGUGAUUCGGUUCAUCGAGUAAAGCUCCGGCGCUUCGGGAGAUGCCUGCGGCCCAUCAACUAGUUCGUACGGUAACGGUCUACCAAGGCAGAGACGGGUAUGGGGCGUGAGAGCGCGGACCCCCACACUGGCGCUGAGAUACGGGCCAGACUCCUACGGGAGGCAGCAGUAAGGGAUAUUGCGCAAUGGACGACAGUCAGACGCAGCGACGCCGCUUGGGCGCUGAAGGCCUUCGGGUUGUACAUCCCUUUAAUGGGGGAAGAGAAAAAGGACGGUACCCCAGGAAUAAGUCCCGGCUAUCUACGUGCCAUCAGUCGCGGUACAACGUCGGGUACAAGCGUUAUCCGGAUUCACUGGGCGUCUCGAGCGUUGAGGCGGUUCCGUAAGUUGGGCCUGAAAGCUCCGGGCUUAUCUCAGAGAUAUCGUUCAAUACUGAGGGGCUUGAUGA
rnacentral:rRNA from 1 species